rnacentral:rRNA from 1 species
UACGAAGGGGGCUAGCGUUGCUCGGAAUCACUGGGCGUAAAGGGUGCGUAGGCGGGUCUUUAAGUCGGGGGUGAAAUCCUGGGGCUCAACCCCAGAACUGCCUUCGAUACUGGCGAUCUCGAGUCCGGAAGAGGUGAGUGGAACUCCUAGUGUAGAGGUGGAAUUCGUAGAUAUUAGGAAGAACACCAGUGGCGAAGGCGGCUCACUGGUCCGGUACUGACGCUGAGGUGCGAAAGCGUGGGGAGCAAACAGG